rnacentral:rRNA from 1 species
UACGGAGGGGGCUAGCGUUGUUCGGAAUUACUGGGCGUAAAGCGCACGUAGGCGGCUUUUUAAGUCAGGGGUGAAAUCCUGGGGCUCAACCCCGGAACUGCCCUUGAAACUGGAGAGCUAGAAUCUUGGAGAGGCGAGUGGAAUUCCGAGUGUAGAGGUGAAAUUCGUAGAUAUUCGGAAGAACACCAGUGGCGAAGGCGACUCGCUGGACAAGUAUUGACGCUGAGGUGCGAAAGCGUGGGGAGCAAACAGG